rnacentral:rRNA from 1 species
GAUGAACGCUGGCGGCGUGCCUAACACAUGCAAGUCGAACGAAGCUUGACGGAUGAUUUCUUCGGAAUGAAACCUGAUAUGACUUAGUGGCGGACGGGUGAGUAACACGUGAGCACCCUGCCUUUCAGAGUGGGAUAACGGCUGGAAACGGUCGCUAAUACCGCAUGACGUGUUCGAAUGGCAUCAUCUGAACAUCAAAGAUUUAUCGCUGAAAGAUGGGCUCGCGUCUGAUUAGAUAGUUGGUGGGGUAACGGCCUACCAAGUCUACGAUCAGUAGCCGGACUGAGAGGUUGAACGGCCACAUUGGGACUGAGAUACGGCCCAGACUCCUACGGGAGGCAGCAGUGGGGAAUAUUGCACAAUGGGGGAAACCCUGAUGCAGCAACGCCGCGUGAAGGAUGACGGUUUUCGGAUUGUAAACUUCUUUUCUUAGUGACGAAGACAGUGACGGUAGCUAAGGAAUAAGCAUCGGCUAACUACGUGCCAGCAGCCGCGGUAAUACGUAGGAUGCAAGCGUUAUCCGGAUUUACUGGGUGUAAAGGGAGCGCAGGCGGGACUGCAAGUUGGAUGUGAAAUACCGUGGCUUAACCACGGAACUGCAUCCAAAACUGUAGUUCUUGAGUGAAGUAGAGGCAAGCGGAAUUCCGAGUGUAGCGGUGAAAUGCGUAGAUAUUCGGAGGAACACCAGUGGCGAAGGCGGCUUGCUGGGCUUUAACUGACGCUGAGGCUCGAAAGUGUGGGGAGCAAACAGGAUUAGAUACCCUGGUAGUCCACACUGUAAAC